AGUGAACGCUGGCGGUAGGCCUAACACAUGCAAGUCGAACGGCAGCACAGUAAGAGCUUGCUCUUACGGGUGGCGAGUGGCGGACGGGUGAGGAAUACAUCGGAAUCUACUUUUUCGUGGGGGAUAACGUAGGGAAACUUACGCUAAUACCGCAUACGACCUACGGGUGAAAGCAGGGGAUCUUCGGACCUUGCGCGAUUGAAUGAGCCGAUGUCGGAUUAGCUAGUUGGCGGGGUAAAGGCCCACCAAGGCGACGAUCCGUAGCUGGUCUGAGAGGAUGAUCAGCCACACUGGAACUGAGACACGGUCCAGACUCCUACGGGGGGCAGCAGUGGGGAAUAUUGGACAAUGGGCACAAGCCUGAUCCAGCCAUACCGCGUGGGUGAAGAAGGCCUUCGGGUUGUAAAGCCCUUUUGUUGGGAAAGAAAAGCAGCAGGUUAAUACCCCGCUGUUCUGACGGUACCCAAAGAAUAAGCACCGGCUAACUUCGUG
rnacentral:rRNA from 1 species